rnacentral:misc_RNA from 1 species
GAAAAAGAGUUGAAAAACUCAAAAGGAAAAAUUUUGGGAUAGCGUCGCGGCGCUGAAAUAUAAACGCAUAGCUCUGGACGCAUAGUAGCAUCGCGGCGCCGAGAUGGCGCUGCCUCGACGCAUCCUUGUUGAACGCAUGACAGCGUCGUGGCGCUAAUGCUCGAGAACAAUAUUUCUGAAUGCAUCACAAUGUCGCAGCACUUGAACGGCGCUAAAACCCGAGAGCAACAAUUUUGGAUGCAGC